AUUGAACGCUGGCGGCAUGCCUUACACAUGCAAGUCGAACGGUAACAGGUCUUCGGAUGCUGACGAGUGGCGCACGGGUGUGUAAUACAUCGGAACGUGCCCGAUCGUGGGGGAUAACGAGGCGAAAGCUUUGCUAAUACCGCAUACGAUCUACGGAUGAAAGCGGGGGAUCUUCGGACCUCGCGCGGACGGAGCGGCCGAUGGCAGAUUAGGUAGUUGGUGGGAUAAAAGCUUACCAAGCCGACGAUCUGUAGCUGGUCUGAGAGGAUGAUCAGCCACACUGGGACUGAGACACGGCCCAGACUCCUACGGGAGGCAGCAGUGGGGAAUUUUGGACAAUGGGCGAAAGCCUGAUCCAGCCAUGCCGCGUGCAGGAUGAAGGCCUUUGGGUUGUAAACUGCUUUUGUACGGAACGAAAAGCCUCUUUCUAAUAAAGAGGGGUCAUGACGGUACCGUAAGAAUAAGCACCGGCUAACUACGUG
rnacentral:rRNA from 1 species